AGCAGCCGCGGUAAUUCCAGCUCCAAUAGCGUAUAUUAAAGUUGUUGCAGUUAAAAGCUCGUAGUUGAAUUUCGGGAUUAAUAUGUUGGUCGUGCCUUGGUACGUACUGGCAUUAUUGAUUCCUACCUUCUGAAGAACCUCGAUGUCAUUAAUUUGGUGUCAUGGGGAAUCAGGACCGUUACUUUGAAAAAUUAGAGUGUUUAAAGCAGGCUCGCGCUUGAAUACAUUAGCAUGGAAUAAUGAAAUAGGACGUUUGAUUCUAUUUUGUUGGUUUCUAGGAUCGACGUAAUGAUUAAUAGGGAUAGUUGGGGGCAUUAGUAUUCAAUUGUCAGAGGUGAAAUUCUUGGAUUUAUUGAAGACUGACUACUGCGAAAGCAUUUGCCAAGGAUGUUUUCAUUAAUCAAGAACGAAAGUUAGGGAUCGAAGACGAUCAGAUACCGUCGUAGUCUUAACCAUAAACUAUGCCGACUAGGGAUCGGAUGAUGUUAAUUUUUAAUGACUCAUUCGGCGCCUUAAC
rnacentral:misc_RNA from 1 species